UAUUCUGGGGUUUAAGAACUGUAUCCUGCCCACACUCUUUUCUGUAAGUGACAAGCACCAGGGGUGUCUCUAUUGUCUCGGCAAGGCUCAUAUCGCAGCAUAUUGUUUGAUCUGCACGUUGUUCCCACCUCAGAGCUCGAAAGCUCCACCUGUCAGUUCCUUAUAGAGGAAGCAAUGCAGCCACAUACACAUUCAGAUGUGGGACUGUUGGAACCGCUGGUACAGUGAUCAACAUCAGCGGUGAGCAUCCUUCCAACUACUUCCCAGGACCAGCCAGCCCCACGGAUGCUACCUCAGGUGUUUCUAUUGGCACCCCUCGGAUUCCCAGAUGUUUGGAGCUUCGCCUCUCAGCAGCAGAACUGGUGCUUCCCUACCCAUCCUCUCCACUCCUCUCCGGACCUCUGCUCACCUGCAAGGUCCCCACUCUGGCAGAUGAUCACCCACAGUACCAAGACCUGCUCCAGCAGAGGGCAGUGGUCCUGGAGAUCCCACUGGAGAAGAUUCAGUACUGGCAACACCAGCUCCCGGACAUUCUUCAGCCUCCAGGGACUAUCUGGGGUGGCACUCCCCAUUAAUGAGGCCAUCCUCCAUUCAACACAGGUGCUGUGGCACACCCCAGCCUCCUCUGCCCCCUGCCUAAGAGGACAGAGCAGAGGGCCUAGUUUGAAGCUCUUGAGAUGAAGGACACCUACUUCCACAUCGACAUUCACCCGGCCCACCGGAAAUUUCUCCACUUCCAGGUGGGACACCACUACUACCAAUUCCGAGUCCUCCCUUUUGUCAUAGUGACAGCUCUGUGAGUUUUCAUGAAGGUAAACCGUGUUUUCAAGAAGGACUGAAUUGAUAUUUAACAUUUGCAGAAAUGCAGAUGCUUAGAAGAUAUUAUAGACCUCAUUCUCGUCUUGCUUACAUAGAUUUUACUGGUGUAACUCCAUUGGCUUCAGUGUAAGUGAGAUCAAAGUCCUACUGAAGUCCUAGCAUGGAUGAAAGUGGUUGAUCAUUCUGCAUUCUGAGAAGUUUUAGUUUAUAAUGUGUAUAGAGAGUCUUGAUGUAUUAAUUAAAAUGUGGCUUCUUAGAUCAUAAAACCACUGAAUUCUGAACAGGACUGAUGUUGAGACUCAAUAUGAGGCAAGACAGAAUGUGCAACCAAAUAUGAAUACCCUGAGCACUAUAUUUGUGAAUUUAUAACUAUUUGGGUAAAUAGUUAAGCUUGUUAUUGUAGCUCGCCUAUAGAGUUGCCACCUAGAGAGAGAUUUUUUUGUAAUUAAUUAUAAAUACUCUAGAUAGCUUCUUCUGAAUGUUUUUAUUAACUUUUCAAUCAUCUGAAAAUAAUAAAACAUACACAGCCUAAAAUUUUUUUUCAUUCCUAUAGCAUCCUGGCUGGUGAGAAUAUAGGCACAAAUGAUAAAUAAUCUGUUUUUAAAAUGACAUCUUCUGCACAAUGAAACAUUUUUGUCUCAUGAGUUUUUAAAUGUACAUAAAAAUAAAAACUCAGAUCUGCAGAUUC